AUUGAACGCUGGCGGCAGGCCUAACACAUGCAAGUCGAGCGGAUGAAGGGAGCUUGCUCCUGGAUUCAGCGGCGGACGGGUGAGUAAUGCCUAGGAAUCUGCCUGGUAGUGGGGGAUAACGUCCGGAAACGGGCGCUAAUACCGCAUACGUCCUGAGGGAGAAAGUGGGGGAUCUUCGGACCUCACGCUAUCAGAUGAGCCUAGGUCGGAUUAGCUAGUUGGUGGGGUAAAGGCCUACCAAGGCGACGAUCCGUAACUGGUCUGAGAGGAUGAUCAGUCACACUGGAACUGAGACACGGUCCAGACUCCUACGGGAGGCAGCAGUGGGGAAUAUUGGACCAUGGGCGAAAGCCUGAUCCAGCCCUGCCGCGUGUGUGAAGAAGGUCUUCGGAUUGUAAAGCACUUUAAGUUGGGAGGAAGGGCAGUAAGUUAAUACCUUGCUGUUUUGACGUUACCAACAGAAUAAGCACCGGCUAACUUCGUG
rnacentral:rRNA from 1 species